CAUCUACAUCAUCACUCGUACUAGAAGAGGUUGGUCAUAUUAGCUAGUGUGAGGAGCACAUUUUGGGUUAUGUCGUAUGUUUGAGUUUGUUCAAAUUAGAAAAUGAUAAUGUAUUAUACUUUUAAACCAUAUAUCAAAAGUUAAGGAAUGAUGAAUAAAAGCUUGAAGUCAUUUUUGGAGUUAUGUUGAGUUGAUUUGAGAAUUAUGUUUGAGUUGAACUAUAGCAACUUG
rnacentral:lncRNA from 1 species